rnacentral:rRNA from 1 species
AGAGUUUGAUUCUGGCUCAGGACGAACGCUGGCGGCGCGCCUAACACAUGCAAGUCGAACGAGAGAGAGGGAGCUUGCUUCCUCAAUCGAGUGGCGAACGGGUGAGUAACGCGUGAGGAACCUGCCUCAAAGAGGGGGACAACAGUUGGAAACGACUGCUAAUACCGCAUAAGCCCACAGCUCGGCAUCGAGCAGAGGGAAAAGGAGUAAUCCGCUUUGAGAUGGCCUCGCGUCCGAUUAGCUAGUUGGUGAGGUAACGGCCCACCAAGGCGACGAUCGGUAGCCGGACUGAGAGGUUGAACGGCCACAUUGGGACUGAGACACGGCCCAG